UCGUACAAGGGGGAAGCCAAGGGGAAACCCUAAGUCUAAAGAAUCUCACAAAUCUUACAAAUUGAAGGGAUUAAAAGCUGAAUUCUUGAUUCAAGAGUUAGGAAUUAGGAUCUCCUAACUAUAUUUGAUCUCAAGAACAAAGAAAGAGGAAUGAGCAAGUUACUCCAAGUCGUAAGGGACACAAGACCACGGAACAAAGAAAGAGGAAUGAGCAAGUUACUCCAAGUCGUAAGGGACACAAGACCACGGUAAAUCCCGCUCUUGGCGAUGCGAGCUCGGACCGAACACACUACAUAGCCCUUUAUGCGCUUCCGGUUAAAGUCGUCUUUUGUAAAUGGGUCAAAACGUUUUCAUAAUGUAAAUGUUAAAUUUAUGUCUAGGAUGUUUCCUAAGUAAGUUGGGAUUUUAAAUCUUGUAUGGUUAUUACUUUUAUAUCUUUUGAAACAUGUCGUAGAAUGUAUUUUGGAAUGAUUUCAUUAUA
rnacentral:lncRNA from 1 species